GGCCUCAGCAAGUGAUGAUGGAAC
rnacentral:siRNA from 1 species